rnacentral:rRNA from 1 species
AUUGAACGCUGGCGGCAGGCCUAACACAUGCAAGUCGAACGGUAGCACAGAGAGCUUGCUCUCGGGUGACGAGUGGCGGACGGGUGAGUAAUGUCUGGGAAACUGCCUGAUGGAGGGGGAUAACUACUGGAAACGGUAGCUAAUACCGCAUAAUGUCGCAAGACCAAAGAGGGGGACCUUCGGGCCUCUUGCCAUCGGAUGUGCCCAGAUGGGAUUAGCUUGUUGGUGAGGUAAAGGCUCACCAAGGCGACGAUCCCUAGCUGGUCUGAGAGGAUGACCAGCCACACUGGAACGGAGACACGGUCCAGACUCCUACGGGAGGCAGCAGUGGGGAAUAUUGCACAAUGGGCGCAAGCCUGAUGCAGCCAUGCCGCGUGUGUGAAGAAGGCCUUCGGGUUGUAAAGCACUUUCGGCGGGGAGGAAGGCGGUGAGUUUAAUAAGCUCACCGAUUGACGUUACCCGCAGAAGAAGCACCGGCUAACUCCGUGCCAGCCGCCGCAGUAA